rnacentral:rRNA from 1 species
AACUGACGNUGAGGCACGAAAGCGUGGGGAUCAAACAGGAUUAGAUACCCUGGUANNCCACNCCNUAAACGAUGANUGCUAGCUGUUAGCGAUAUACUGUUAGCGGCACAGAGAAAUCGUUAAGCAUUCCACCUGGGGAGUACGCCGGCAACGGUGAAACUCAAAGGAAUUGACGGGGGCCCGCACAAGCGGAGGAACAUGUGGUUUAAUUCGAUGAUACGCGAGGAACCUUACCUGGGCUUAAAUUGCAGUGGAAUAACGUGGAAACAUGUUAGCCUUCGGGCCGCUGUGAAGGUGCUGCAUGGUUGUCGUCAGCUCGUGCCGUGAGGUGUCGGCUUAAGUGCCAUAACGAGCGCAACCCUCAUCGAUAGUUACUAACAGGUUAAGCUGAGGACUCUAUCGAGACUGCCGACGUAAGUCGUGAGGAAGGUGGGGAUGACGUCAAAUCAGCACGGCCCUUACGUCCAGGGCUACACACGUGUUACAAUGGGGGGUACAAAGGGCAGCUACCUGGCGACAGGAUGCUAAUCUCUAAAACCUCUCUCAGUUCGGAUUGGAGUCUGCAACCCGACUCCAUGAAGCUGGAUUCGCUAGUAAUCGCGCAUCAGCCACGGCGCGGUGAAUACGUUCCCGGGCCUUGUACACACCGCCCGUCAAGCCAUGGGAGCCGGGGGGACCUGAAGUAUGCAACCGUAAGGAGCGUCCUAGGGUAAAACUGGUGACUGGGGCU